rnacentral:misc_RNA from 1 species
GAAAUGCGAUAAUUAAUGUGAAUUGCAGAAUUCAGUGAAUCAUCGAGUCUUUGAACGCACAUUGCGCCCCCUGGUAUUCCGGGGGGCAUGCCUGUCCGAGCGUCAUUGCUGCCCUCAAGCACGGCUUGUGUGUUGGGCUUCCGUCCCUGGCAACGGGGACGGGCCCAAAAGGCAGUGGCGGCACCAUGUCUGGUCCUCGAGCGUAUGGGGCUUUGUCACCCGCUCCCGUAGGUCCAGCUGGCAGCUAGCCUCGCAACCAAUCUUUUCUCGGUUGACCUCGGAUCAGGUAGGGAUACCCGCUGAACUUAAGC